rnacentral:rRNA from 1 species
GAUGAACGCUGGCGGCGUGCUUAACACAUGCAAGUCGAACGAGAAGUGAAGACGGAAACCUUCGGGCGGAAGGCUUUAUUUCGAGUGGCGGACGGGUGAGUAACGCGUGGGUAACCUGCCUCAUACAGGGGGAUAACAGUUGGAAACGACUCUUAAUACCGCAUAAGACCACAGCACCGCAUGGUGCGGGGGUAAAAACUCCGGUGGUAUGAGAUGGACCCGCGUUCGAUUAGCCAGUUGGCGGGGUAACGGCCCACCAAAGCGACGAUCGAUAGCCGAUCUGAGAGGAUGACCGGCCACAUUGGGACUGAGACACGGCCCAAACUCCUACGGGAAGCAGCAGUGGGGAAUAUUGCACAAUGGGGGAAACCCUGAUGCAGCGACGCCGCGUGAGUGAAGAAGUAUUUCGGUAUGUAAAGCUCUAUCAGCAGGGAAGAAAAUGACGGUACCUGAGUAAGAAGCCCCGGCUAACUACGUG